UUUUGAGUAUUUAAAUGCAUUUGCUUAUCCACCGAAGGUAGGUUAUUUUAAAGCGCUUUUAUCUUUUUAGAAUUUACAGAAUAAUUCCGUGAGUCUGUAGAGGAAAUUAGUAAAUAAAUAAUCCUGUCUCUUGAUGCUUUGGUUACCAGUGAAGAUGCACUUAUGCCUGGGGUGACUUUAUGUGCGGAUGUGUCUUUCAGUCUUAAUGGGUUGCAGUUUUGGUGGUUUUAGAUGAGAAUCAUCGAAUACUGCCGUGGUGUGCAAUAGUGAGUAAUCCACGUUUGCUAUUGUCUGUAUAUGUAAUGAAUUGGUAGAUGUCGAUUUGCCAUUUUUUAAAUAAGUCUUUCCUCAGAUGGUAAGAACCUCGGCUGUAAUGACAUUUGUGUGCGACCGUUUACAAAGCAUACUCACGUGCGUUUACACUAGAUCUUUCGUAGUAGCCCCAGUGAGUGGGUAGGUAGUAGUAUCUUUUACAGAUGUGGAAAUUCAGGCUUCGUUGUUUUAACAGCUUGUCCAAGUUUCCCACAGUAAUAAGAGAUUUGAACCUAGAUAUUACGAUUACAAAUAAAGUUUUCCUUUCAUUAUGCCUCAGUUGUGUUUGUUAUAUACAGGGAGUGAAAGCUGGUGGCUGCAGGAGACUCCUUUGGAAAAAAUGGUAAAGUGAAACUGCUGCGAGGUUAGGAAUUACUUUGUUUUUUUCCAUCUGCAUAGAUUUCAGGUCAUUUUGGAUUCACAUUUUAAUGACUCAGUCUAAUAAGGCAAGUAUUUAUUUAUCACGAUGUGUGCUGGCAUAUUACAUUAAAUUCCAUUCUUUGAGCCUGGGCACUCAUUGUGCACCACAUUUACGGUGCUGUAGUUAGUGGAAACUCAGGGAUUGCAGAAUCCGAUUUUAUAUGGAAUUAUGAAAGAAAGGUUUUCCAUGUACUCCUAAUGCUUGAACAUUUUUUUCCUUGUAAAAUUAUAAUCAGGGUAAGAUACAAAUGAUUUUUAUUUAUCGACUUGAACACUGUUUCCUAUUGAAAUAACUAUGAGCUCGUGUAUAUGGCGUUUAUUUUGCUGAACACUUUAUACACAUCUCAUUCAAUUCUCUCAACAUCUUACGGUAGGCAAUAUCCACUCUUUAUGGAAAGGAAACGGAGGGUUGGUAUUGUUAGUGACUUGCCUAAGGUCAUACAGGGAGCAAGGUCAGAGGUAAGAUUCAGACUCGGGUCUGUCAGGCACUAUGGUUAAAAUAGAUAAAAUAACUUUUGUUGCUCCCUUUAUAGGAUGAAUCAUUUACAUAUUUUGACAGAACCAUUUUUGGCAUUUGUUUUGUGAAACUAUUAGUCAUGAAAUGGAAGUGAAUUUUAAUACUUCUCAUGCCCACUUUUGCUAAAUUCCAAAUCAGAAGACUUUGGAAAUUUUCAAAAUUAAAUUUAAAUUUAACUUGAAAAAACAUUGGAAGGGAAGGGAGCAUUACAGAGGAUUUCAUGAUAUAGCGAAGAACAGGUUGGAAACAACUCUGUUUGCUAAAUUAGUUAUUACAGAUUAUUUCUUAAAUUGAAAAAAUGCAAUUGGGUUUUUUAUCUGAUUAUAAAAGAAACAGUUUUUUUUUUUUUUGUAGGAGACUUAGUAAAAAUGAAAGAAAAUUACAAAAAUAUGUAAAGAAAAUUAAGUUUUAAAAAUUGUCACCUGUUGGAGCGCCUGGGUGGCUCAGUCGGUAAGCCCCUGCCAUGAUCCGGUGUUCCUGGGAUUGAGCCCCGCAUCGGGCUCCCAGCUCAGCGGGAAGCCUGCUUCUCCCUCUCCCUUUCCUUCUGCUUGUGUUCCCUCUCUCUGUUUCUCUCUCUGUCAGAUAAAUAACUAAAAUCUUAAAAAAAAAAUUGUCACCUAUUGUUAAAAACACUGAUAAUGUUUACUUUUUUUUAAUAUGUUAAUCUGAGCCAACAGACUAAAAAUGUUAUUAAAAUACCAAGGAUACAAGUAGAGUGUAACUCUUUCCACUCUUAAAAAUAGCGUCUUGCUUUUCUCUAGGGUACUGUAUGUGAUACUAUAAUGCUCAGAAUGUUUUGUAUUUGUAGUAAACAGUAUUUAAUUCUGUUAGAAAAUUGAUUAUUUGCCAGAUGGAUUUUGGCCUUUCAUAUUAAGUGUUCGCUAGAUUUUAAAGAUCUCUAAAAAGUGUUUGGUGUGUUAAAUUUUAUUUUUGUAAAAUCAACAGGUUUAUAAUCCAUUCUCAUUACGCAGGACAAAUGAAUCAUUCAUAUUGUUUUUUUAUGUAGUUUGUAUGAGUGUGGAUAGGUUGUAUAAACUGCUAUCAUCAAAUCUUUGAACUUCAGAAGAUACUUUAGAAAUGCAGCUUCCUUGUUUUAUGGAUUAGGAGUCUGAUCCUGCAGUGCACUGAGAUUUUUCAGUUUCAGGAAAAAAAAUUUGUCUUUUGCUCAAGGAGAUACAUUUUUAAAAGAAAAAACACCACACUGUUGGAAUAGAUGUUGCAAGCAAGUAUUGAUAUAUGAAACCCUCAUGAAGAUAUUAAAUGCAUUUUGCCAUAGUAGAGUGUUCUCAUUUCAGUCCAGUGGUACAGACCUGACUUUUUUUUUAUAUUUUGCUAAGUCACUCCUUACUCUAGCAAAAUGUAAUACAAAAUAUCAUCAGUAAUUUUUUUAUGGAGUGCCAAAGCAGUUAUUCUUUAUGCUUUAUGAGACACACUGGGAAGGUAUGGAGUUGAAGUGUAUUGCAGUUGAUCACGUUCUGUAUUUACUAUGGCAAAACCUGAGGUGACGUAGAUUUGGAAGAAAUGAGUUAAAAGGAUGGGAAGUUGUCAGAACCAGAUAGCUCGUUAUCAUCUUUCUAGAACCACAUGGUCUUUCAUCUCUGCUUUCAGACAUGUCUGCUUCAUUCUUCUCACCACGGAUCAACUUUCGCUGCUUUGGCAUGCUUAUGACCACCAAGCAGACAUGCACUUAUUUGGCAAAUGCUUACUGAGCACCUGUUACAGGCCAGGCACUAUUUUAUGCUUUUGGGCUAGGCAGGAAACAAAAUAGACAAAAUCCCUUAUUUCAUUGGGUUUACAUUCUUUUGCCUUGGUAGGGGAGGAAGGGAAGACAGAAAAUAAUUAUAUGGCAUAACUUAUAAAUGCUGUGGAGAACAGUAAAUCUGUAGGGAAUAGGAGUGCCAGGAUAGGAGGAUGGCGUUGCAGUUUUAAAUGUGGCAAUGAAGGAGGGCCUCACUGAGAAGGAGCAAAGUAAGAGAGGGAGUUAGACAUACUCUGUGGGCAGAGCAUUCUAGGCAGAGACAAUAGCCAGUGUGAAAUCUUUAAGACGGGGGUAUGCUGGGAAUGUUUAAUAACCAGGAGACCAGUGUAGCUGCAGUGGAGUGAAUGAGUUGGGCAAAGAGGAAGUAAAAUAUGAGGUCAGGGAGAUCAUGGGGCCAGGGGGAGUGUAGAAGGGGAACAAGUAGGUAAGACUUUACUUUUACUUUUGUGAGAUAGGGUUUUGAGCAGAGGUGAGGCAUUAAUUGUCUUGCCCUUCUGUCACUGUCUUCUUGAAUAUAUCUUUUUCCUUAUUAACUUAAUCUUAAAUCCAAAUUUCCCCUCACUUAUGCUCUCUUGCUUUUUCUCUCUUUCUCUAAUAAAUACAUACACACGCGCACACACACACUCACACGUGAAUUUUGGUGGAGCUGGUGGAAAAAACACAGUUCAGUGCAUAACAGACAUGGUGAGUUCUUGAAGGCUUGGAAGACAUUGAAACAUUUUCUGUAUGCUCAUUUCUUGUAACAACUUCAUUAUAAUCUUUCUCUCUCUCUCUCUUCCCUACCCCCACUUGUGUAUUUUUUAAUGAUAGGUUAAUAAGGUUAAUAAGAUAAAAUUUACAUACAAUUAGAUUUAGCAUUUUCAGUGUAAAGCACUUUUGAGAUAAAAGCAUUUUAUCUCACAUUAUAGCACAUUAUAGCACUUUUGAGAUAAAAGAUUUGGAGAUUCCUUCUCUUUUUUUUUCUUCUCCAUUUAUCAAAUAUUGAAUACCUGCUCUGUACUUAGGCCCUGUGUCAACUAUGUUUCCUGUGUGAAUUUCAUUUCCCCCAUUCUUAGCCAUUUCAGAGUUCCUUAGAGGCACUUUUAUUAAGUGGACCAGUUUGAAGACCAUUGCUCUUGGGAUUCCUUUAUACUUUUAAAUACUGAAGACCCAUAGGACUUUUGUUUAUGUGGAGGAUAUCUUUUUGCUAUAUUAGAAAUGAAAACAACUUUAUUUUUUUUUUUAAUUAUUCAUGAGAGAUGGGGAGGGGGGCAGAAGGAGAAGCAGACUCCCCGCUGAGCAGGGAAUCCCAUGCAGGACUCCCCUGGGAUAAUGACAGGAGCUGAAAGGCAGAUGCUUAACCAACUGAGCCUCCCAGGUACCCAAAAACAGAACUUUAAAUGCAGUACGUGUUAACAAAAAUAACUUUAUCAUAAAUGUAUUUUCCAAGACACAAACUUCAGUGAGAAAAGUAGCAUUGUUUCAAUUUUUUGCAAAUCUUUUUUGUCUGAAUUGUUAGAAGACAGAUUCACAUCUCUGCCCCUGCAGUUACUCUUGCGAUAUGUUUUGGUUAAAGUGUAUGAAGAAGAUUGGACUUCACACAGAUAAUUUGAAAAAGGGAGGGGUACUUUCAGGUAAUUUUUGAUGUCCUUUGAUACUAUGCCAAAGUUCAACAAGUGGUAGUUUCUUUAAGCAGUAUUAUAUCUGAAAGCAUAUACCUCACCUUUUAAAAAUUAAAUCAACUUAAAUUAAAAUCCAUUGGUUUGAUGGCUCAGGAUAGUCCAGAAAUAGACUCAUACACAUGUGGACAAUUGAUUUUUGAUGUAGAUACAACAGCAGUUCGGUGGAGAAAGUAUAGUUUUUCAACAGAUGGUGCUGGAAUAAUUGACUCUUCAUAGGCAAAAAAUGAACUUCGAGCCAUACCUUUCACCAUAUACCAAAAUUAACUCAGAGGGAUGUUAGACCUAAAUGAAAAAGCUAACUACGAAACUUUUAGAAGAAAAUAUAGGAGAAAACCUUUGUGAUCUUGGGUUAGGCUAAGAUUUCUUAGAUACAACAUUAAAAGCAUGAUCUGUAAAAGAAGAAACUGAUAAAUUGGAUGGCAUCAAAAUUCACAACUUCUCUUUGAAAGACACUGUUAAGAGAAUGAAGACAGGCCACAGAAAAUGUUUGCAAAAUGUUUAUCUGAUAAAGGACUUAUUGGAGUAUAUAAAACACUCAACUCGGUAAGAAAACGAAUGACACAGUUUAAGACAGGCCCGAAGAUUUGGACACUUCACCAGAGAAUAUAUGCAUAUGGCUAAUAAGCAUAUGAAAAGAUGCUGAGCAUCACUAGUCAUUAGGUAAAUGCAAAUCAAAACCACAGUGAAAUAAUUCACACCCACUAGGAUGACUAUAAUCAAAAGGGACAGAUAUUCAGUGGAGAAGGAUGUGGAGAAAUUGGAACCUUCAUUCAUUGCUAGUGAGAAUGUAAGAUACAGUGUUACAAAGUUGCCAUAUGACCCAGCAUUUCCACUCCUAGGUAUAUACCUAGGAGAAUUCAAAAUAUAUCUUCACACCCCAUUGUGUAUCAACUGAUGAAUGGAUAAGAAAAUGUAACAUACCUAUAAAAUGGAUUAUUAUUUGGCAAUACAAAGGAAUGAAAUACUGGUAUGUAUAAUAACUUGGUUGAACCUCAUAAACAUUGUGCUAAGUGAAAGAAACUGGUCAUGAAACACCACAUUUUAUGUGAUCCAAAUUAUGGCUCAAAUAGGCAAAUCUAUGUAAAGAGAAAGAAUGGGGAAUGACUGUUAAUAGUUACAAGGUUUCUUUUUGGGAUGAUGAGGAUGUUAAAAAAUUAGAUUGUGGUAGCGGCUGCCUCACUCUGUAAAUACAUAAAAAGCCUUUGAAUUGUGUACUUUAGUUGUUGAGCUUUGUAGUAUGUAUAUUUCGAUAACGCUGUUAGCAGAAUAGAACUACAUCACUACAUACCUAUUAGAAUGAAUGAAAUUAUAAAGUAUGACCGUACCAAAUGUUGGUCAGAAUGUGGAACAACAGUAACUUUCAUAUGCUGCUGGAAUGUAAAGUGGUACAACCACUUUGGAAAUCAGUGUAGCAGUUUCUUAAAAAGUUAACAUAUGAUCCAGCUAUAGUACUGGUAGGGACUUACUAAGAGAAAUGAAUGCAUACAAACUCUUGUAUGUGAAUGUACAUAGCAGUUUUAUUGUAAAAUCCUGACACUUGAACCAACCCAAAUGCCUAUCAACAGAUGAAUGAAUAAACAAAUUGUGAUACACCUAUACAAUGGAUUACGAGUCUGUGACUAAAAGAAAUGAACUGUUGAUACAACAUACAUGAAUCUCAAAAUAAUAAGUGAAAGAAGCCACAGUAUGUGCCACUUACAUAGAACUCUAGAAAAUGCAAAUUAAUCCAUAGUACUAGAAUGUAGAUUGAUGGUUGCCUAGGAAUGGGACUGAGAGAACGGUGGGAUGGAGAGAUUAUCAAGGGACCUGAGUUAAUUUUGGUGGUGAUGGAUAUGUUCAUUAUCUCAGUUGUGAUGACAGUUUUAUCAUUGACAAGCUUAUCAAGUGGUAACCCCUUUAAGUGCAUUUUAUUGUAUGUCAGUGAUUCCCCAAUGAAGCUGUUUUUUAAAAGAUUUUAUUUGAGAGAGAAAGAGAGAGUGUGCGCACACAGAGGAGAGUGAGAGGGAGAAGCAGACUCCUUGCUGAGCAGGGAGCCCCACAUGGGGCUCGAUCCCAGGACCCUGAGAUCAUGACCUGAGCCACCCAGGCGCUCCCCCAAUAAAGCUAUUUUUAAAAAUCCAUUGGCUUAUUUUUUUACUCAUGAAUGGUUUUGUAACAUCAUGUUGGUGUUUUGGUGGAUACUUGAUCAUUGAGUUAUGCAGAUACUCCAAAUGUUGACACGUUUCAUGUGUAUUAUCAAAGCUUACAUUCCUUAACAUCACUACCUGUCUCAUCUUGAAAAGCCUUUUAGGUAUUGGGGAAGCUGUCAGGCUCAUUGUGGUGAUCACAAGUUUUCUAAAAUCCUAAUUUUUGCUUGAAAGUUUGAUUUUUAUCAUUGGCAACAAAUAUCGUCAGUUGUUUUCCUUGGCUCUUAGGCUCACUUCAUUCUUUAGUGAUAAAAUGCUUGAAUACCCAGAUCUGUCUGAAUAACUUGUUUUUGUUUUUUGUUUUUUCAGUUUUUUUAGCCAUGGUAAACAUGAUGUUUCAUGGGAGGAAAAAACAGCUAGUUCGGCUGAUAACUCCAAAGAAUUGUACAAAGUACUUUUUCUUGAGGCAAACGUUGCUGUUGAGCUCAAGUCCAGGAGUGAUCCCACACUCCCUGUAUUUUCUAGUUCUAAAACUUCCAAUUGGUUCUUCUUUAAAUCUUGUUUUUUUUCUGUCUUGAUCUAGUGAAGAGACAGACAGCACAUUGUAAGUUAACCAGAGGAAGUUGAAUUACUAAGCUACGGUAAGAGGGUAGCUAUGGAGAUGUAAAGAAUACUGUAAAGGGUACCUGAGCAAGAGGGUGAGUAUGCAAGUAGGGACAGCCUUGGAAGAGGUAGGGCCACUCCUGAUAGUUGUGGUUUAGACAUCAGUGCAGGAGUGUGGAGUUGUCCAGAGCGAGUCCACAGUUUCUGGGCUAGCAGGAAAUAACCCCUCAGGGUGCAGGAGAGCCAAAGUUAAUGGAUGGGCACGUGGGGGGAGUUGGGUACCCUGUUGGGUACAAGACCUGGAGUGUCUUGGGUUCUUAUCAGUAGGGUUGUGAAAAGGUGGUCAUUAUAACAAACCUCCUGACAGUGCAGCAGGAGCCGGAAAACCGCUUCCUCCUGCAUUGUCCCUCCAGUACCUCCUACUGACAAAUUUGUUUUUAAAAAAAUGUUUUGAGUUCAGUGACUUACCACCGGACAGGUACUGAAGGACAGAUUUGGAACUGGGGUGACUAAGUUGAUAGCUGGCACACCCUUCCUGUAAGUGUUGGAGCCACUGCCCGCGCCGCUGACCUGACAGGUGUCCCCUGCUCCGGGGCGGGGGGCGCGAAUCACCGCCAGGGGGCGCCCGGCUGGCUCAGUUGGAAGAGCAUGUGACUCCUGAUCUCCCUCCGGCUUUUGAGUUAAGCCCCACGCUGGGUGUAGAGAUUAAAGAAAGAAAACUUGAAAAAGAAGGAAGAAGCACCACUAGGAUCUCUGCAACUGCUGCAGGAGUUCGGAGACCUGCAAUUAGCUGCCACUGCUGUUUUUAGAGCCAGAAGUAGAAAAUGGCUUCACCUUUUCCCACAAAAGUACUUCUCCUUGAUUCGGUGCAACUCAAGCCUAGUCAGCAAAGAGGCCAAAAACAUGUCGUUUUCAGGCUUCCAGGAGCAACAGUACAGUGAAUGUUAAGUUUGUAAUUACUGGUAAUCUGGAGCGGUAAGAAAAUACCUAAACUUUGGGAUACAUGUAGAAUUGGGGCUUUAUGUUCGCAAGGCCUAAUUAAUUAGCACAUGCAUAUUUUUUUUUAUAGGUAGUUUUUUUCCUUGUAAUUGUAAAAGUAGCAAUGAAGCAUUAGAAACUUUGGGGAAAGAAGGCAAGAAAAUCACCCGUGUUCUCAUCUGACCAAUUAUUAUGGCUGUUUUUUUCGUAUUUUCUCUUUUAGGCUAUUUUGAUGUUUUUUUUUUUUUUUUUUAAAGAUUUUAUUUAUUUAUUUGACAGAGAGAAACACAGCGAGAGCAGGAACACAAGCAGGGGGAGUGGGAGAGGGAGAAGCAGGCUUCCCGCCGAGCAGGGAGCCCGAUGUGGGACUCGAUCCCAGGACCCUGGGACCAUGACCUGAGCCAAAGGCAGACGCUUAACGACUGAGCCACCCAGGCGCCCCUUUUGUUUGUUUUUUUUUAAAGAUUUUACUUAUUUAUUUGACAGAGACAGACACAGAGAGAGAGGGAACACAAGCAGGGGGAGUGGGAGAGGGAGAAGCAGGCUUCCUGCUGAGCAGGGAGCCCGACGUGGGGCUCGAUCCCAGGACCCUGAGAUCAUGACCUGAGCCGAAGGCAGACACUAAACGACUGAGCCACCCAGGCGCUCUAUUUUGAUGUUUUUAUCUAGUAGGAAGUACUAGGUAGGAAGUACAGUGUGUAUUCUAUUCAUUUUUUAUUUUUGCUUUGCGUAUUUAACGUUAUGCAUUUUUCCAUGUUCCAUGUAGUGAAUGUGCCACAAUUUAGAUACCCAUUCUCCUGGUUUUGGGUAUGUAGGUUAUUUACAGACAUUUUGAGUAAUAUUUUUCAGUCACAUAUUCUUAAUAUUUACUUACUGUGAUCAUAGUUAUUAAUUGUAAAAAUUUUUGUUGGUAAUCAGAUAUUAAAAAUCCUUUGUUACUUCAGCGAAAGUAAUCAAGGCCAACAGGAACCGUCAUAAUUCAUGUUAAUCGUGUACCCUUGAUAUGAUGUGAUGAAAAUGGCACUUUGCCAUUUUCCUUUUCUUCCCUCAAAGCCAUAGCCCCAUUCUAGUCAUGAGCGAAACAUGAGACAAAUUCUGAUAGGGGGCAUCCUGCAAGGUACCCGACCAGUACUCCUUAAAAUGACCAAAGUCAUCAAAAACAAGGAAAGCCUGAAAAACUGCCAGACCCAAGAGAAACUGUGUUAGCCAAGCUAAGGAGACAUGCAACUAAAUGUCAGGUGGGUUUUGGAGCAACAACAGAAGACAUUAGGUGAAGACUAAGGAAAUCUGAAUAAACUGGAUUUUAGUUAAUGAUGUGUGAAUAUUGGCUCAUUAAGUUUAACAAAAGUACCAUGCUAAUGUAGAUGUUAAUAAUAGGGGAUACUGGGUGCUGUGUGUGUGGGAACACUGCACUAUCUUAGAUUUUCUGUAAAUGUAAAAUUGUUCUGAAAAAUAAAGUCUACUACUAAUAAUUUAACAGUCCUUUGUUUAUUGAAUUAUCACCAGAAGGAUAAUUACCAGAAGGAAUGUGCAGACACUUUGAAAUCUAAUGUGGAAAAAGUUUCAAGAGACACAGCGAGAGAGGAAACAUAAGCAGGGAGAGUGGGAGAGAGAGAAGCAGGCGCCCCGCGGAGCAGGGGCUCAAUCCCAGGACCCUGGGAUCAUGACCUGAGCCAAAGGCAGACGCUUAACGACUGAGCCACCCAGGCGCCCCAAGUUAGGUUUAUUCUUUCAUUGACUUUCUGUAUUGGUGGUAGUUGUGCUUGUUUUAGUCCCUCCCCGCCCCAAGCUGCUGAGACCCUUUAUGAAACAGGAUAGGCUAAUUUGUCUUUGUCACGAACUACCUUCAAACCUCAGCAGCUUAAAGCAACAAAAGGUUCCUUUCUCACUGAAUAUUACGUCUACCACAGGGUGGGGGGAGAUGCUCCUGCUAACUGGAGUCACUUGGAGACCUAGAUUGAUGGAGGCUCCUAGGGUGUGCUUCCACAAUCAUUGAGGCAGGAAAAUGCAGUGUGAUGUAUUGUGUUCAUUAGCUCCCCCAGAUUUUCUCCCCAGGAGUGAUACACAUCACUGUAGCUUAUAUUUCAUUGACUGAAGCAAGUCACAUGUCCGUGUCUAAUUUCAGAGGUGGCAGGGAAGUACAGUCCUACUAUUUAUCCAGAAAAUGGAAUGCUAGAAAUACUUGAUGUCCAAUGCUGAUGAUUUCCUCCACAGUCCCUGACAGCAUUAAUUCUUAUCUGGCUGGAUGAAAUUAAUGGGCUUGUUGGGAUACAUUUCAGUAUACAACUUCAUUAGUGAAGGAACAAUAAUUUCUUUUCAUGUCAUUAUCCUUUCUCCUUUGUUCUUCUCAUAUGUCUAUUUAGAUAGUACUGUAGGAAGU